AUACCCCAUGAUGUCAGGUCCGCCGCAUCUCCUGGGUCGUGGGGUGGCCGGUCAAGACCAAGUGCAAUGUGGUAUCCUCGUUCCACGCCUUUGUCCUGACCGGCCUUCAA
rnacentral:sRNA from 1 species